CCUUGCGGCCUCGGCGUGACACCGAGGACUAUAUGUCCCAGAAGCCCUUGCGUGGCCCCAGCCCCGCGUGGCCGUGGGUUGCGAUAGGCCCGGCGGCGGGAGCCAAUAGGCCCGGGCGUUGUUGCGGGGGGAUGAUGGCUUUCUUCACAGGCCGCCUGGGCCGCCUCUGGCCUCUGCGUCCCGGGGGCAGAUUCUUCCUGCUGCAGCACGUUACAGCCUCCCCCUCACAGCCCAGGACAAUUUCCAUCCUCUCAGAUGCUUUGGGGCAGCCUCCAAGCACCAGCCUGUCCUUCAGAUCUGCAGGCAUCUUCCAAAGCAUCCCUAGACACCUGUCACCAUGGAGCCUUCAACAAAUACGCACCAAGGCACGCGGGAAUGAAUAUCAGCCAAAGAACCUCAAGCGCAAGCGGACCCAUGGCUGGAUCAAGCGUAUUAGAACUCCCAGUGGGAUCGAGGUGAUCCUCCGACGCAUGCUGAAAUGCAGGAAAUCACUGAGCCACUGAGUGUUGUAGCUGCAGGAUCUGUUGAGCAUGAAAUGUUUCAGUCAAGCCUGAAUAAUCAUCCACAGCUCAGACCUUUAGAGUGAACCAGCCUUCUUCUCUAUGUAACACCCAUGAGCGACUGACUAUUCCCAUCAUGUUAUAACAUGUGGUGAAGAAUUAUUGAGUGCUACUUUGACAGAUGUGGGAUGCUGCUUUUCUUUUCCACUGGCUUCACUUGAUGGCUAAUUAUUUUUAAUGGCAAAAUUAUUACAACUGGUGGGAGUAGUUCUAAGGCAGAUUUUUUGAAAGGAUUACCAGUCUACAACAAAAGCAACUUCAGUAGAUUUCAUGCAGACUCUGUAUGUAAAGCAUCGAACAGAAGACCGUCAGUAUAUCUUCCCACAAGGGAAUAUCCAUCUGAACAAAUCAUAGUAACAGAAAAGACAAACAUACUUUUGCGUUAUCUACAUCAGCAAUGGGACAAAAAGAAUGCAGCAAAGAAGAGAGAUCAAGAGCAAGUGGAAAUAGAAGAAGAGUCCUGACAAAAAUGGAUAUUGAUUCUUCACUUAGAAGAAGUGACAGAAAAUACUGCCAUGCAAUCUGAAAGGAAUGAUCCAUGGUGCUUGUCAGCACUGCAUCACCCUGCACAAUACGGCUGGGCUGGACUUCCAAAUACAUGUGUUUCUUACGACUUAGUGCAAUGUGUAUAGUUAAAAAGGCUUUACUGGGUUUUUUUUAUUAAGACUAAUCUACGUAGUCUCCUUGGUCAGUUGCAUGUAACAGCUGAAUGUAUGGGAUUGGGCCUUAUCUUUCUAGCCAUCCCAAAUUGCUUUUACGUCCGUUACAGUCUGGAAUACAAAAUCCCAGGAUGAUUUUAUUGGCAAUACACAGUGUAUCCCUUGGAGCCUGUAUUACUUACAACCCAUCUUUCUGCUUGUGGACAAGAAAUACCUGCUGCGUUCCAACUCAACCUCUCCCCCCUUACUCUUUUUGCAAACACUGUGUCUGUGGGGCAGGGGGCAAUGUCUUCUCCUGAGGAGUUGCGUGGCGAUAGAGGGGCUGCUGUAAUGGAGCGACUGUAAAUAUUCUGUUCUAGUUGAAUGUCACAGCUGUUGGAUUUUGCAUUUAUUUUUAAACUAUUUCAUGUUUGAUACUGUGUAUAAUAAAUUUGCAGAAAGUA